rnacentral:lncRNA from 1 species
AAGAGUAAAGUACUUCCGCUUCCUUAGGUGGAGCUGGAAAGGUGGAGGCGGAAGUGACUGAUCAAUUCAGGGGCGUGGGGUUCGUUUAGGUUUUGCCCUGUGUAUGACCUCGUUUGGAGCCAUGAAACCAGGUGGCUUUUCUACAAUAUAAAGAUGGAAAUGGGAAGAAGAUGUUCAUUGCAAAUUAAGGAAGCUCUUCCACGAGUUCACGAAUGGAAAUAACAUCAAGAGUUUUUCAUCUUCUUAGUGUGCAAGUAAUCUCUGCUGGACUUCUCUAUCAAAGUGUUUGAUGCAGCAAAAUAAAUAUCAAGGAGUGCAAUUCCUGGAUUUAUGAUGUCUGAGGAAUAGUCUUAGUGGAUUAUCCCAAACUUGACACAUUUUUUGCAAAAUGCUAUACAAAAAGAAGAUACAUGCGAUUAUGACAAGAUUCUCCACUUGGUGUGACCAGUCUCAUACAACCCAAGGCUGUGUGUCCAAAGGCAACUGUACUGAUCUUGACAAUAAUCAAAAGGUAGCCAGGUGCAUCGGGGAAAGCACUGACAUUGGAGUCAGACAGACUGAAGUUCAUAUCUGAUUCUGCUAUAUGACAACGUGUGGGCUAUGUGGCUAACUUCUCAGAGCUUCAGUUUUCUCAAGGGCAAAAUGAAAAUAAUAGAAAUAAUAGAAUCCACCUCACAGGGCUGUGGUGAGAAUUGGAGAUGAAGCACAUACAGCAUAUUACAUCAACUAAACACAUGCUAAAAAUUAAAGGGGAUGAAAGAUACAUUGGUCCCUGCAGUGGGAAGUUUCCUUGACAAUGCAAUUAUUGAUUCCAGAAGGCUGAACAAAUGUUGACAGAGGAACACACUGUUUGCUUAUGUCUAAUCUUCCCAUCUGACUUAUAUAAAUGUCACAAAUGAAUCUCAGACAUGUGCCCAAUAUCAAAUAUCCAUACGAUGGCCCUGGAAAGAGGCAAUCUACAUUUAUGGCUGAUGAGAAGAUGGAUUUUUAGCUUGAAAGAAACUUAUUACUGGGGAGAGGAAGUAUAAAUGAAUGGAGAGAGCUAUGAAGAGGUUGAGAGAAUACAGCCAAGGCACAUGACAGAAUUGCUCUGUUGAAGUUUUGCAAGGUCAAAUGACUCACUUUGUCUAAUGGAACGGGAACGAACAAUUUUUUUGUGUCACGUUUGAACAGAUACCUUUGAGAAGUUUAUGAUUCUCCAAGUUCUCUUUCUCCUACUGUGGCACCUACUGACAAGAUAAAUGUGUAGAGGUUCCUGAGUCUAGGGGUGAGUCUUGCAUAUCUGAUGAAUCCACCAGUAAAAGUACCACUGCUGAAAUCACGCAAAUAUAUUUUUUUAGACCUUAUCAACCUUGGCAUGGAAUUAGAUGAGCAAAAAGCUGAGUUGAAUUGAUGAAAAGAAUCCCAAGUCAUUAAUUACUAAUGAUGGAGCUUGUAAAGUACAGCAUCACUGGGGAAAGCAACUGACUUUCCUCAUACACAUUAUAUUUUUAUCUGAAUUUCAAUACUGCUUAAAUAUGUACUUCAUUACAGGGCACAACUAAAAUAGAAGGGCACCUGCUAAGUCAGAGCCAUAAAACAGAUCUACAGCCUGCUGGCAUGUGAAAUUUCUCUAAUUUAUAUUUUUUAUGAAACUACCCUCACAUUAUGUGGUUGGCAGCAUAAAUAAUAAAGCAUGUUACUGAAGCAAUUUUACAUUUACUGUAUUAGUAAGUAAAUGCAAUGGCCACUCUUAUUCUCAAAUAAAAACUACCCAGCCUUUUCAUGAAAGAUGUUUGCAAUUUCCAUUGGCCUGUAUAUGCAAUAAAAAGCCAUAACUCAUCAAAA